AUGAAAACAUACGAUCGGAUCUGGAAGUGCCUUCGUAUGGAAGUAGAACAUCAGAACAGAAGCAGUAGUACUGGCAUCAUCGAUCUGGUGUGGCAAUACAAGCGAAGGGUACUGGAUGAUAGCUUGUCAUGCUCUCAGAUAUCUCAAUACUUCGCUCGUAGAUCAAUUGAUGGUCUUGGCCUUGAGCAGUUCAACCUAAAUGACUCACAGCUGAAUGCAGUAGCAGACUGUGUCUCGGUAAUGGAGAACCACUCGCCUUCCCUAAAACUCAUAUGGGCCCCCCCUGGUAGAGGUAAAACUAAAACGAUCAGCACUAUCCUGUGGGCAAUGCUCAUCAAGGGACUAAAGACACUUACCUGUGCACCAACCAAUACUGCUGUACUGGAAGUCGCAUCACGAGUUGUCAGGCUUGUUGGAGAGGCUCCAGAUGGUAGCCCCUGCUUUCUGAAUAUCGUCCUGUUUGGAAAUAAAGAGAGGAUGAAAAUAGAUGAUAAUCAUGAUCUUUCCAUGGUAUUCCUUGACUUGCGUGCGGAGCGGUUGUUGCCAUGUUUCGUACCACACACUGGUUGGAGGCAAUGCUUGUCUUCACUGAUAGAUCUUCUUGAGAAUCCUGUGACCAAGUACAAGUUGCACAUUCAGGAUAUUGUUGAAAAGAUGAAGAUGGAAAAGGAGAUGCCCAAAAAGGAUGGGGACAAACCCCUCGUGGGCAAGGACAGGAAUUCUUUGCCCUCACGGUAUCCUUUACGGUCCAAUCCCAACUCCAAAGAUCAUCUUGUUGCACCUCUCUCAGUGUUUCGCAAGAUAACCCAUAACAGGCCUGAGGAUGAGAAAGAAGAGUGCCAUAAUGAAGGAUGGCAUGACUCUGACGCUAUGGUGGAAGCAUUAAGAGCACUGCCAUUCAAGGAUUAUUUGAAAGAUAAUUACAACAAACUUUCUAAGGAUUUGUGCUAUUGCAUCGAGAUACUUUAUAAUGAUCAUCCAAGAAAUUCAGAAACAGGACAGAGCUUUCAGUGUAUGUUGGAAGUGCUUGAAUUGAUAAGAAUUCUCCAUGCUUUGAUAAAUUAUGACAGGGAUACUGAUGAUAUAUGCUCAGAUGAACUUCUUGAGGGCAAGGUAGAAGAGGAAUGUAACCCUGUGUCCUGGCCUCAGCAGUUAAACUCUGUGCGGACUAACAGAUGCAAUAAAUCCAGGUUUAAGCUGGCCAGAUCCCUGUGUGUGCAAGAAUUAAGAUACCUUCGCAAAAACUUAGAGCUUCCAAAUUAUUACAGCACGAGGCAAAUUCAACUGUAUCUGCUGCAGAGAACAAAAUGCAUUCUCUGUACAGUUUCCAGCUCUUUCAGGUUGUAUGGUGUGCCCAUGGACAAUUCUACUUCUGAUACUGGCAAAUUGCUCAAGAAGCCUGAAAAGCCAAAUCUUCUGGACCUGCUGAUUGUUGACGAGGCUGCACAGCUCAAAGAGUGUGAGACUUUAAUUCCCUUGCUGCUGCCUGGCAUAAAGCAGGCUGUUUUUAUCGGAGACGAAUAUCAGUUACCUGCUCUGGUGAAAAGCAAAAUAUCUGACAAUGCUAAAUUCGGGCGAAGUGUUUUUGAGAGGUUAAGUAUGCUGGGAUACAGUAAGCACCUUCUCAAUGUGCAAUACAGGAUGCAUCCGAAAAUAAGCAAGUUUCCACUUGUUACAUUUUACGAUGGCAAGAUAUCUGAUGGUCCUAAUGUCACUAGUGAGAGCUAUGAAAAGAGGUUUUUAGCAAGCAAAAUCUUUGGGUCAUACUCAUUCAUAAAUGUAGAUGGGGGACACGAAACAACUGAGAAGCACGGAUAG
rnacentral:rRNA from 1 species